GGGGCUGACCGGUUUUGACAGCGGGUAGAAAGGGUUUGUAAGCAUGCAGUGCUUCGUUGGCCGGCACUAUAAUCUCGGAUGACAAACAAUUAACUGGCGAAAACAACUACGCUCUCGCUGCGUGAUCGAAGAAAUAGUAGAUCAUGCUUAAUCCUUACACAAGGUGUUUGGACGGGAUAUCACCCGGAUGCUCUGGCUUCGAAGCGAUCCGAAUCGGUGGUACGGCAAUAUCGGAGAUAGUCUGAAAAAAGUCCCGGUUUUUCAGGCGAAAUACAGGGAAUAAGGUGGCAGUUGGUGGCUUCGGUCUUGCUGUCGCUCGAAAAUAAAGUCGAAGAUAAGCAUGUAGAAAGCAGAUCGGUUCCUCGUUUGGACGAGAGUUCGAGUCUCUCCAGCUCCACAG
rnacentral:tmRNA from 1 species